GGUCUGGGCUACCUGGGCGCUGCACCCAUGACGGCGCGCGGGACCCCGAGCCGCUUCCUGGCCAGUGUCCUCCACAACGGGCUGGGGCGCUACGUGCAGCAGCUGCAGCGUCUCAGCUUUAGCCUCAGCCGCGAUGCGCCGUCGUCUCGUGGCGCCAGGGAGUUCGUGGAACGCGAGGUGGCCGACUUCGCCCGACGGAACCCGGGGGUCGUAAUAUACGUAAACUCGCGGCCGUGCUGUGUGCCCAGAGUAGUAGCCGAAUACCUUAACAGGGCAGUGCGUGAGGAGAGCAUCCACUGCAAGUCAGUCGAGGAGAUUGCGACGCUGGUGCAGAAGCUGGCGGACCAGUCGGGCUUGGACGUGAUCCGCAUCCGCAAGCCCUUCCACACGGACAGCCCUAGCAUCCAGGGCCAGUGGCACCCCUUCACCAACAAACCGACAACGUUGGGUGGGCUGCGCCCGCGAGAGGUCCAAGAUGCUGCCCUAGCCCAGGCGCAAGUGCCAUUAAGAGUUGCCCACCAACUCCAAUACCCAGGCUUUGGACUCUUACCCCAGUGGAGGUGGUUCUUCCUCUUUGGGUUCAGGGGAUUCCAAGUCCACACAGGCAGAUAGAGCCCACCAAAAGGGAAACUGACGCCAAAGCUUUUGCUUGGGAUAAAGAAGAGCUGUCUUUUUGUUGCUCAUGAGGCAGGGCAGUGACUGUUAGUCUCCUAAUUCUUCCCCAUUUGAUAUCUCUGAAACCUGACUCUUCAAGGAUAUUACAGGCAUUUAUUUCUGAAAUCCAGAUUGAUAACAGUGAUCUUAAAUCCCAGCGAGUGCUUUCAAGAUUGGGAUGUGAAGAACCUCCCGUGUCCUGUUUCUGUAACCAUUGAGCUAGAGAGCUAGCAUCUUAUACCCUGCUGUGAACCUGGCAUUAGGAUAACCACUUUAUAUCCGUGUGAAUGUUUAGAUUAGAAAACUGAGAUUAAUAAACUUGUUCGAGGGCACCUGGGUGGCUCAGUCAUUAAGUGUCUGCCUUCG